rnacentral:lncRNA from 1 species
AUGCAUCCCACCCCAGAAACGAUGACAGAGACAGCCCCAGCAGAGCAUAACCCACCCCUGCCAAGAGACAUCAGGGGCUGCUGGGAAAGGAAAUGGGGAAAUGAACAUCAGGGAUGCAACCAACAGCCUCCAACUCAUUUCUCGUUUUACAGAUGGGGAACUGAGACCAGAGAGAGAACAGGCUUGUUCUAAGAUCACAGCAGAGAAGAGCCAGGACCAUGACCCACCCCUUUAAUCUGCAGACUCGAUCCUAUUUCCACUCUAUUCUAAUUCGACCUUGUUCAGGCCAACUCAGGAAAUAUUGAGUGGUCAUCAAUGUGGGUUCAGACCAAUCAAUUUCUCCCCAAACCUUAAUGAACUACUUUGGAAGCAUCACGUUUUAAACACCUCCAACAAAUUUCCAGCCAAAAGAAAACAAACCUCAGUCCCAGAAAUUCUUGCAGCCACAAAGAUCAACCCCAGCACUUCCAUUUCCCCUCUUGGGGCCCCCUAAGAACCAAGUGGCUCCUGUUACUUUUAAGGGGAAAAAUGCAUUCUGGCGUGCAAAUAUUCUCGCAUAUUCAUGCACUCCAAAUCUAAUUUUAGCUGCUCGAGCCUUCAUUAUAAGACGCUCACAUAAUUAAGCAGUUUUCUUCCCAGGGUUUGGAAGCCUGUCUAUUCUUCUCUCUCAUUAACACAUCACUGGGAUUAUCAAGAAUGAGUUUCAGUUUUUUCAAAUUAUAUAUUUUGGUUUUUCCAAAUUGAUCCACAACGGGAGAUGAAAUCCAUGAAAAUUACAUGUUUUAACACAGGUUUGUGCAACUCCACAGCCUUGCUAUUAAAAUUGGAAUCUGUAAACAGGAGUACUCUGUUCUGGUCUGAUUAGCUACAUCUGCCAUGCUUCUCUCCUAAAGCCAAGCCUGUUUUACUCCUUGGCUGGCUGGGACAGCAUCCUCUUUAUGGAGAAGCUGAGAGCUAGAGUUGAGGCUUAACUUGAAGAAGGACAAACAGACUUUCCCAAAAGAACAGACACAUCCCCUUCCCGUGCUUCUCAGGAGCUGCGGGGGUGGGGGGGGGUGGUGACUGCUGAGAACCAUUAGCACAUGGGGCCUUAACAUCUUACUCACCCAACGUCCAGGAUCAGGUACCGAGGUUCAGGUAUCUUGCCAGGUGGACUGACUCAACACAAUGCAUCCCGAUCCCAACAUUCCACUUAUCUACAUCCCUGGCUAAGGUGCACAGUAAAUUUCAAGGCUAUCUGAGCAAGUGGCCCUCCACCUGAAGGAGAGAGGGUCUCUGGGUACAGCAGGGAACAGUCUCAUCAUCUAUCAGGAAGAACAGGCUGGGACCACUGUUCUCCUGAGCCCUGGGGUGGUGGGGGAAGCCCAGGGGGCCAUGCCCUGGCUGUGGUCCUAGUUGGUCCUCCAGCCCCUCCACU